rnacentral:rRNA from 1 species
AGUGAACGCUGGCGGCAGGCCUAAUACAUGCAAGUCGAACGGCAGCACAGCAGAGCUUGCUCCGUGGGUGGCGAGUGGCGGACGGGUGAGGAAUACAUGGGAGUCUGCCCAGUCGUGGGGGAUAACGUAGGGAAACUUACGCUAAUACCGCAUGCGCCUUCGGGGAAAGCCGGGGACCUUCGGGCCUGGCGCGAUUGGAUGAGCCCAUGUCGGAUUAGCUAGUUGGCGGGGUAAUGGCCCACCAAGGCGACGAUCCGUAGCUGGUCUGAGAGGAUGAUCAGCCACACUGGAACUGAGACACGGGUCCAGACUCCUACGGAGGCAGCAGUAGGGAAUAUUGGACAAUGGGCGCAAGCCUGAUCCAGCCCAUGCCGCGUGAGUGAAGAAGGCC